UACCGCAUACGAUCUCAGGAUGAAAGUGGGGGAUUCGCAAGAACCUCAUGCUCCUGGAGCGGCCGAUAUCUGAUUAGCUAGUUGGUAGGGUAAAAGCCUACCAAGGCAUCGAUCAGUAGCUGGUCUGAGAGGACGACCAGCCACACUGGAACUGAGACACGGUCCAGACUCCUACGGGAGGCAGCAGUGGGGAAUUUUGGACAAUGGGCGCAAGCCUGAUCCAGCAAUGCCGCGUGAGUGAAGAAGGCCUUCGGGUUGUAAAGCUCUUUUGUCAGGGAAGAAACGGGUCUUUCUAAUACAGAGAUCUAAUGACGGUACCUGAAGAAUAAGCACCGGCUAACUACGUGCCAGCAGCCGCGGUAAUACGUAGGGUGCAAGCGUUAAUCGGAAUUACUGGGCGUAAAGCGUGCGCAGGCGGUUUUGUAAGACUGUCGCGAAAUCCCCGGGCUCAACCUGGGAAUGGCGAUGGUGACUGCAAGGCUAGAGUUUGGCAGAGGGGGGUAGAAUUCCACGUGUAGCAGUGAAAUGCGUAGAUAUGUGGAGGAACACCGAUGGCGAAGGCAGCCCCCUGGGUCAAAACUGACG
rnacentral:rRNA from 1 species